rnacentral:sRNA from 1 species
AGAAGGCUCGAGAAGAAGGAAGCGGAAGUGGCACGUGGAGGGGCCGGUGGAGGCGCCGGUCAGUCAUAUCAUUUGGAUCAAAAAAUAGAACAAUCGGAGUUGCAGCCAAAAACCAGCAAAUCACUCAUGCAAACAAUACGGUGUCUAACUUCAAAAGAUUUCAUGGCCGAGCGUUCAAUGACCCCUUCAUUCAAAAGGAGAAGGAAAACUUGAGUUAUGAUUUGGUUCCAUUGAAAAAUGGUGGAGUUGGAAUAAAGGUAAUGUACAUGGGUGAAGAACAUCUAUUUAGUGUGGAGCAGAUAACAGCCAUGUUGUUGACUAAGCUGAAGGAAACUGCUGAAAACAGCCUCAAGAAACCAGUAACAGAUUGUGUUAUUUCAGUAAGUAUAAUUCAGCAAGGCAGUGUGUUUUAUUUCGUUUUGCGUUCUUUGUAUUACUUUUAAGUAUCAAAUGUGGGAAAGCUGCUAUUUUACUAGAGAUCGUGUUCUACUGGACUGUAUUAAUGUGUUCCAGAGCAUUACAAAGUAGAUUUGAGUGAUAUUUUUAGCCAGAAGCGGCAAAGGUUCUUGACUGGAAAUCAAAAUCUCUUGUGAGGCUUUUUGAAAAUACAGAUUUUGACUGGUUCCAUUUGUGAGUAUUCUAAUACAGUGAGUUGCUGCACUAUCAGGCUUGUACAUUUAACACAGGAGCUUUUCACAGGUGAAAGAAUUCUACCCUCCGUUGAGAAACCAGUGUAUUAGGAGUUUUAAAACGUAUCUUACCAGUAGUGACAAAACCUAAAUUUUUAACACUAGCAAGCCUGUUACCUUCAGUGGACAAUUACUAGUUAGACUAUCAAAGGGUACUUGAAAUGGACAAAAGUCGUCUUUUAUUUGGACACCACAAAGGUAAAUUCUGCUCACCCAGGUGUCUUGGGUCACUUCUUGAUAGGUUGUGGGGUAUGCUUUUGGACUUAAAUACAGCAUGGUCUUUGUACUAUAGUAUGAGCAAUGUGGCCAACUGAGAUCAGUUAGCAAGAAGCCUUUAUG